AGUGAACGCUGGCGGCAGGCCUAACACAUGCAAGUCGAACGGCAGCACAAGAGAGCUUGCUCUCUGGGUGGCGAGUGGCGGACGGGUGAGGAAUGCAUCGGAAUCUGCCCAUUUGUGGGGGAUAGCCUCGGGAAACCGGGACUAAUACCGCAUACGACCUACGGGUGAAAGCAGGGGAUCUUCGGACCUUGCGUAGAUGGAUGAGCCGAUGCCGGAUUAGCUAGUUGGAGGGGUAAAGGCCCACCAAGGCGACGAUCCGUAGCUGGUCUGAGAGGAUGAUCAGCCACACGGGGACUGAGACACGGCCCAGACGCCUACGGGAGGCAGCAGUGGGGAAUAUUGGACAAUGGGCGCAAGCCUGAUCCAGCCAUGCCGCGUGUGUGAAGAAGGCCUUCGGGUUGUAAAGCACGUUUGUUGGGAAAGAAAAGCAGCCGGUUAAUACCCGGUUGUCAUGACGGUACCCAAAGAAUAAGCACCGGCUAACUUCGUG
rnacentral:rRNA from 1 species